rnacentral:misc_RNA from 1 species
GGAUAUCACAUUCACCCAACUGGGUAUUGAUGAAAGCCUUUUUGACAGAAUUUUAGCUUUGCUCUUAUGCAAUAGGUUAAUAUUUGCUAGGACCAAUGAAUUUGGUAUGGCAACUGGUUGGAGUUCUGUAAAUUUAGGUUAUAAGAGUAACUCCACCACAAUAUUCUGGGUGGUGAGACGAAUCCCUCCUCUUAAGAGAAUUUUACGUAGAUUGUCUAGUAAAUCUGAGUGUCUUCUCUUGUAAUCCAAAGUGAUAACCUGUUAAUUAUGUUAGUAAUUGUGAUUCUUCUUUGGGCAAAAGUUGACGUGGGGUUUUUUCUUAUCAACAAAUAAAUUUGCAGGUUACU